GUCUUUUAAUUGAAGACUGGAAUGAAUGAUUAGAUGAGAAUUAUACUUUCUUUAUUUUUAAAAAAUAACUUAAUUUUUAAGUUAAAAAGCUUAAAUAAGUUUAAGGGACGAGAAGACCCUAUAGAAUUUUACAUAUGUUUUUAUAAAUAAAUAUUAGAUAAUGGAUUAUUUAUAAUAUAUAUAUGUUUGGUUGGGGUGAUUAUAAAAAUAUUAUAACUUUUAUUAUUUUAAACAUUUAUAUAUGUAUUUUUGAUUUAUAAAAAUAAUUAUAAGAUUAAAUUACCUUAGGGAUAACAGCGUGAUUGUUUUAGAGAGUUCUUAUCAAUAAAAUAGUUUGCGACCUCGAUGUUGGAUUAAAAUUAGUUUUAGGUGCAGAAUUUUAAUAACUGAGUCUGUUCGACUUUUAAAAUUUUACA
rnacentral:rRNA from 1 species